rnacentral:lncRNA from 1 species
AAAGCUGUUAAUGUGGCUUAGUGAAUAGAGGUAUACUUUUUUUUUUCUUUUCCCUGAGACAGGGUUUUUCUAUGUAUCCCUGGCUGUCCUGGAACUCACUCUGUAGACCAGGCUGGCCUUGAACUCAGAACUGCCUCUGCCUCCCAAUUGCUGGGAUUAAAGGCGCGUGCCACCACUGCCAGGCUGGCUCUCGUUCUCUCUCUCUCUCUCUCUCUCUCUCUCUCUCAUAUUCCUUUUGAGGGAGGGUAGGCAGAGUCAGUUUGUCCAUCCUUCUCCAUCUGUGUCCCUUCAUCUGUGAGGGACAGAAGGAGGUGACAGAUCUUUUGGUGCUGGAGUUACUGGUAAUGACAUUAAUUAAGCUGGGGUGGUAGCACAGGCUUUUAAUCCCAGCACUUCAGAGACAGAGGCAGACAGAUCUGAGUUAGAAACUAGCCUGUUCUACAGAGUGAGUUUCAGUACAUCCAGGGCCACAAGGAGAAACUGUGUCUCAAAAACAAACAAACAAACAAACAAACAAACAAACAGCAAACAAAAAACCCCAAAAAAAAAAAAAAAACCUAAAGGUGGCUGGAGAGAUUUAAGAGCAUUGAAUUCCCUGCCAGUACCUGGUGGCUCAUAACCAUCUACAAAGAGAUCUGGUGCCCUCUUGUGGUUUGCAGGUAUAACAUUUUAUACGUAAUAAAUCUUUUUUUUUUUUUAAACAAAGGGAACAAAUAAGUAAUGACAAAGUGUGUGAUGGGAACUGGGCACAGGUUCUCUGGAAGAGCAGGAAGUGCCUUUGCAUCAUCUUUCCAGCCCUGUUCCUGUUUAAUGAAAGUUUUGUUUAUUUUUUAUUGGGAUGGUAUCCUAUUAUAGUCAGGUUGUUUUAUAGGUAAGGGUGACUUCAGCACCUCCACCUGAGGACUAGGAGGACAGAUCUGAGCCUCCACCGCUUUGAGAGUACUGAUCAAACCCAAGACUUCAAACAUAGUAUACAAGCAUUCUACCACCUUAGCCUGGUCUACAUAAAACAUGCACAUAUAACAGCUCGUUGUACAUUUGGCCAGCUUGGUCAACAAAAGAAAAGGGUGGGGAUUAAAUCUGGGCUGAACCUUGCUUUGGAAUAACCUUUAAAACCCAUGGGAUACCAGAUAUUCUACUGGUUUUAACCUGGCAUUCAUAAUAAAGUUAGUAACUUCAAAGAAGCUAACCUAUUUGAUUGUAAUUCUGCAUACCUGGAAUCCUAGGCAGUGUGGAGGCCAAGGGAGAAAAUUGCCAUCUUUGUUAUAUAGCAAGUACCAGGUCUCACAGACCUAACACUCUGGAAGCUCAGAUCUGUAUUGAAGUCCUGAGCAGCUUCUCUCUUCAGACUUCUGAUAUGGUCUGGGAUCCAGUGUUUCCCCAGGACUAGUAUCUCCACCCUUCCUGUACAGGUGCAUCUGUUUUUGUUUGUUUGCUAUCUUUUUCUUUUAUAGACAGUGUUUCCUGGUGCCAUCCUAGCUGUCCUACACCUUACUGUGUAGACCAGGUGGCCUAAAAUUCAGAUACCCACCUGUCCCUGCCUCUCAAGUGCUGGGGCUAGAUAAAGGUGUGUACCACUAGGCCAGACUAAGACAUAUUCAAGGGACAGACUCUUGUACUAGUUAUUUCUGUGUGCUACACCUUUCACUGACCUGCAGGAAGUCAUCUUUGCACGUCUAUGUACACCUUACUUGAUUUCUGCCAGAAAGUCUCAAACCAUUAUAACCACAUUCAUUAGUUCAGUGUACACAUAGGUAGUCCCAGCACAUUGAGGGCUGUAUAAGUGGGAUUGGUUCUGAAAUGGCAAUUUUACUGUAAAGAUAUGCUUAUAUUUAUAUGUUAUAUGUGUGUGUCCUUGAAAGGGCACAGGAUUCCCCCGGCUCUUAAGUUAGACCUUGUGAAUCUGUGCUAGGAACCAAACUUGAGUCCUCUGCAAGAUCAACAAGCACUGCUGCUCCCAUCUCUCCUAACUGUAAAAAGCCAUCUUAAUGAGAAAGAAGUAAUGUGCAAUAGGGGUAAAAAGAACUUUGUUGCAAUGUUACCAUUUUGUUCUGAAAUGCUGUAAUGGCCAUUUAGCCGUAAGCCAGAAAUUAACAUCUAUAUGUUUUAUAGUUUUUAGUGUAGGGUUUUAUUUGUUGUUGAUUGAGAAACUAUAGCCCAAAGAGAUGAAGAACUCACUUUGUGUAACCCUGGCUGGCAGGUGUAAGUCAUCACACUUGGCUGAAGUUUAAGUUUGUCUUGUGUCCCAUACACAUUUGUUUUCCUGGAACUUGUGCAGUAGACCAGCCUGGCCUCAAUUUCAGGGGUCAAUCUGCCUCCCCAGUGCUGCAACUGUCUCUUAGGAAGUUUUAAGUUUUAAAAAGAAAUAUUUCAGCUGGGCGGUGGUGGCAGUUCCCAAAAACCAUCGGACUCAGAAUAGGUCAAUCUCUGGAGUAUGAGGCCAUUGCCAGGUCAGAGUUGGUUACUUAGUAAGAUCCUGUUUCCAAAACCUGUGCCUAACCUGAGCGCGCAACUCUUUUUUUUUUUUUUUUUUUCUUCACAGAUUUAUUUAUUUAUUAUAUGUAAGUACACUGUAGCUGUCUUCAGAAACUCCAGAAGAGGGAGUCAGAUCUCUUUACGGAUGGUUGUGAGCCACCAUGUGGUUUAUGGGAUUUAAACUCAGGACCUUCAGUAGAGUAGUCAGGUGCUCUUACCGGCUGAGCCAUCUCACCAGCCCGAGCACCUGACUCUUAACAGCGGAGAUUCUGGGGUGUGUGCACCACAUAGAUGUUAGAUGUGUGCAUACAAGUGAAGGCCUAGGCAAUAACAUCUAUCCCCAAAAUGGACAGAAACUACACCUGUGUUGUAUUUCCAAUGCUUUCUAUUAUUUAUUUUUAUUUGUCUUGGUUUUUUUUUCCCCUGUUUUCUUUUUUUAAGAUUUAUUUAUCUAUUUUAUGUAUAUGAGUACACAAUUGCUCUCUUCAGACUCACCAGAAGAUCGGAUCCCAUUAUAGAUGGUUGUGAGCCACCAUGUGGUUGCUGGGAAUUUUACUUAGGACCUCUGGUAUAGAAGCUGGUGCGCUUAACCACUGAGCCAUCUCCAGUCUUGGUUUUGUUUUUUUCAAGAUAGUUUCACUGCAUAGUUGUGGCUGGCCUCAAACUCACAGACAUAAGCUUGCCUCUGCCUCCUGAGCUCUCACUCCAGCUGCCAGCCAGGACUAUACAUUGAGAUCCAGCUUUACAUUUAAAAAGUAAAAAUAAAAGUUCAAGUCAAUACUAACACAGGGCUAAUGAUCAGUCUAAAUUAAGACCCUGUUUCAAAGAUGAGAGGAAGAUGAAAAAGAUGAAAAGAAGUAAGCCUGAGUAUUGGGAAAACAGAUAUGGGAAGAUCAACUCUAAAUUCAAGACCUGUGUAGUAUACAGUGUUUCAGGCUAGUUACUUUCUUAAAAAUAGCUUUGGAGGGUGAGGCCUUCAGGAUCAUCCUUAGAUAUAUAGGAGUUUUAUUUAGGCCAGUCCAGCUACAGGAAAUAAGAAAUACUGUUGUUCUAUUAUUAGGCAGAGGGCAAAUGAUUACUUAAUUUAAAAAAAAAAAAGAAAGAAACAGAAACUAUCAGUAAAAGCUAAAGCAGUAAGUGAUCCUUUGAAGAAAAUGUACCUACAGAUGUAUGGAUUUUCUUUGUAAAAAAUAGAGGACAGUUGC